UUGCUUCAAUAAUAGCAGAAAGACUAAAGAGAUUCUUGAUUGAAUUUAUACAUUCAGUCCAAAAUUGAUUUUUACCAAAGAGACAAAUAAAGAAUAAUUUAAGAAUGAUUUUAGACACACUGGAAUAUUACGAAAUGCACCAAGGAAAACAAAUGGCUUUGAUCUUUUUAGAUGCACAGAAAGCUUUUGACAAUGUCAAUUGGCAAUUUAUGGUUCAACAACUAAACUACAUGGACUUGGGAGAAAAUUUUAUGAAUAUAAUUCAAACAAUUUAUCAUAGACAAAUGGCCACAACAAUUGUGAAUGGAGAUUUCAUGGAGAGUUUCAAUAUUAAAAAGGGCACAAGACAAGGAUGUCCUUUAUCUGCACUAUUAUUUAUCUUAACUCUGGAAGUGUUGAAUAGGAAUGUUAGACAGGAUCCAAAAAUCAAAGGAAUGGAGAGAAAAGAUGAAAAGUACAAACUGUAAAAAAUUAAUAAAAUAUACAUAAAAAAAAUUAAAAAAAAACUGACCGGUGUUUGGACGAAAAAGACCCACCACCCGAAUAUUGAUUGUUCUUCCUAUUUUUUACUGCCCCACUUAUUCCUAGGUUAGUUAAUAUCUCCGAAGACUAGGAAUAAAAUAGCCCUCUGCUUCUUCGGUCCUCACCUCCACCUCCCGCAAGGCCUCCAUUCAUCAGUGUUGGAGUGCAUUCAACCUUCCAUUCCCCAACCUUCCCAAGGCUGUUUGGCGCCGUCCCAGUUUUCUCCACGUAACCAUUUCCAACGAACCCGCCUGCCAAAUGCCACUGCACACACCCACCCUCGCAAAUCUCGCUACUACACAGCGGCUCUUUAUGGGGCUUGUCUGGAACCGAACAAUAGGAACACCGGGUUGCGGCUACAAUUUGGGCACCAAGAACGGAAGGACACCUGCUCCGAGGGAACCCAGAGCGGCGACGGAGAAAAGACCAGGAGGUCCCAGGCAGCAGGCUUCUCCACAAAAUGAGAAUCUUCUGUAGUGGAAUUAGGAACAGGAGUACAUAAACAGAAGACCGAGUACAUGUUCUUUCUCUCCUGGAACUGGGACUCAGCUCUUUGGCAAAAGCCAUAGUGUACAAAGCAACAAGAUGAUUUCAUUGUUGGAAGGUAACAGUCAGGAGAAAGGUACAAAAAAUUCCUAAGGCAUUGGAUAUACCACUGGAACACAGUGAAAACAGUCUUCAAAAAAUGGAGAAAAUAUGGAACAAGAGUGACAUUACGAAGAAUUGUUUGUCCCUCCAAAACUGAUGAAAAAACAAUAAAAGUGAUCCAAGAGGCUGCCAAGAGGCCUACAGCAACAUUAAAGGAGCUGCAGGAAUUUCUGAUUGUAUUGGUUGUGUACUACAUGUAACUACAAUCUCCUGUAUUCUUCAUACAUUUUGGCUGUUGAGUAGAUUGGCAAGAGGGAAGCCUUUUCUUACAAAUAAAACAUCCAAGCCUUUUGAAAAAACCUACAUAAAGUCUGACAAAACCAUGUGGGAAAAUAUGCAUGGUUUGAUGAGACGAAGGUUGAAAUUUUUGGCCAUGAUUCCAAAAAGUAUGUUUGGCACAAAAACAACACUGCAUCACCAAAAGCACAUCAUAUCCAGAGUGAAGCAUGGUUAUGGUAGCAUUAUGCUUUGGGGCUGCUUUUCUUCAGCUGGAACUGGGGCUUUAAUCAAGGUGGAGGGAAUUAUGAACAGUUCCACAUAUCAGUCUAUUUUGACACAAAACCUUCUGCUAAAAUGCUGAAGAUGAAGAGAACUUUCACUUUUCAACACAAUGACCCAAAGUUUACUUCCAAAUUAACGAAAUAAUGACUUUACCAGAAGAAGAUCAAAGUUUUGGAAUGGCCCAGCCAGAGCCCAGACCUGAAUCCAAUUGAAAAUCUGUGGAAUGACCUGAAAAGGGCUGUGCACAAGAGAUGUCCUCAAAAUCUCACAGAUCUGGAGCACUUUUGCAAGGAAGAGUGGACAAAGAUUCCUAAGCAGGAUGUGCCAUGCUGAUAAGCUUCUAUCCCAAAAGACUGAAUGCUGUCCUAAAAUCAAAAGGAGCUUCAACAAAGUAUUAAUUUUAGCAUGUGCAUCUUUAUGCAACCACAUCACUGUAAGUUUAUUUUCUCUCCUUAAAAUAUUUGUUUUUCAAUUGAAUUGUACAGCUUAUAUGCUAAAGGUGGAAAGAAUUAUAAAGUGAUUACCUUGGUCUGAUUUUUUUUUUAUAUCUCAAAAACCUGACUUUCUAUAUCCACUCUAUAUAGCUGGAUUAAAGUAAUAGCAAUAAAAAUACCAAAGAUGCUUAAACUUGCAAUUAACAAUAGCAACUAUUACAAGAAACAAAAGUUUAGAUACUUACAUGCAAACGUGGAACCACACUCUAAAAAAACUGUAGGUUAGAUUUGCCUAGCCUAGUGAUACUGGAAACAGGAAUACCUAGUCCAUAGGACCAGAAUAUCUGGAGAUUAUGGAAGUACAACUUCCCAGACAUUUUAGAUCAGUAAAAACUACUUUAAUCAAUUACUAGGAAAGCUAUAUACAACCUUGAAUUAAAUAAACAAUAUUUUAUCUAGUCCGCCUUAGCCAUGAAAGCCAGCUCGGUGACCUUGGGCCAGGCACUCUCAGCCCAACUCUUCUCACAUGGUUAUUGGGGGGGGGGGUAUAUUUUAAAGGUGGGAUAUAAAUAAUUUUUGGUUCAGAUAUUUGCAAAUCUUGGUAUAUUUUUCUACUUUGCUGUGGAGAUGAAAGAAAGCAAGCCAGGGUGCUUUCUAAAUAUUUUGUAUGGAUAUAUGUUUGUAUGCUUGCCUGUGUAUACACACACACAUGGUAUACAGGUCUACACAUAUGCAAUUAAGAACAGUUUCAAUUCUGAAUGUUAAUGAACCACCACAGUUUAGUUUUCACAGUAGUGAAAUACUCAUUUUCAAUAUUAAAAUGAUAAAAACAUAUUCAAUGUUCCAUCAAUGUGGGAUCUUUUUAAACAUCACAGGGAAGCGUAUCCUGGUAAUAAACAGUAGGGACAGUCUCUAAACAGUUCUGAAAGGUAUUCUUAUACCCCUCUAUUGACAAAAAUAAGAGGCCAAAAAAGAAAUCCAGAUAUCAAUUAUCUAAAAAUCAAGGCCAACCUAUGAUUCAUAAAAUUAAACCAACAGCCUCUCAUUUCUGUUAAAUGUAUAAUAUCCGGUCAAAACCAGGAAGAAUCAACCUGUAACCAUACCCUUAGCAGUAAGCUCCACUUUAUUAAAGAGAGACUACUUUUCUCUGAGAGUUAUGUAGCAGCACGUAACUGGAAGGAGGUCUAGAAAAGGUCUGUAAGCAGACUUAUUUCUCGGUCAACUAUCUUAGGAAAAGGCUUCACCCAGAAACGAGGGAGAAAGCACGGAGCGAAACACGUGGAGAACAGAAGUCCUCGUACAAAACUAAAGCCCUUGGGUCCAAGAAAGCACGGAAAGAGCCAGGCCGACGAGGCGACCGGCGUCUUCUCCUCGGGGGAUUCAUCUGCAGACAACGGCGUGGGGAGGGAGAGGAGUCGAUGGAAGCCAAAUUGGGGGGGGGGGUGUCAGA